rnacentral:rRNA from 1 species
GAUGAACGCUAGCUACAGGCUUAACACAUGCAAGUCGAGGGGAAACGGCAUUAAGUGCUUGCACUUUUUGGACGUCGACCGGCGCACGGGGGAGUAACGCGUAUCCAACCUGCCCCUUACCAGGGAAUAACCCGUUGAAAGACGGACUAAUGCCCUAUGCAGUCCUUUGACGGCAUCAGAUUAGGACUAAAGAUUCAUCGGUAUGGGAUGGGGAUGCGUCUGAUUAGCUUGUUGGCGGGGUAACGGCCCACCAAGGCAUCGAUCAGUAGGGGUUCUGAGAGGAAGGUCCCCCACAUAGGAACUGCGACACGGUCCUAACUCCUACGGGAGGCAGCAGUGAGGAAUAUUGGUCAAUGGGCGCUAGCCUGAACCAGCCAAGUAGCGUGCAGGACGACGGCCCUAUGGGUUGUAAACUGCUUUUAUGCGGGGAUAAAGUCACCCACGUGUGGGUGUUUGCAGGUACCGAAUGAAUAAGGACCGGCUAAUUCCGUG